rnacentral:rRNA from 1 species
GACGAACGCUGGCGGCGUGCUUAACACAUGCAAGUCGAACGGGGCGAAGUGAUAGCUUGCUAUUAUGGAGCCUAGUGGCAAACGGGUGAGUAACGCGUAGGCAACCUGCCCUUCAGAUGGGGGACAACACCUCGAAAGGGGUGCUAAUACCGAAUGACGUUUCCUAGUCGCAUGACCUGGAAACCAAAGGCCGGGGCAACCGGUCACUGAAGGAUGGGCCUGCGUCUGAUUAGCUAGUUGGUGGGGGUUAAACGGGCCCGACCAAGGCGACGAUCAGUAGCCGGUCUGAGAGGAUGAACGGCCACAUUGGGACUGAGACACGGCCCAAACUCCUACGGGAGGCAGCAGUGGGGAAUCUUCCGCAAUGGGCGCAAGCCUGACGGAGCAACGCCGCGUGAGUGAAGAAGGUUUUCGGAUCGUAAAGCUCUGUUGAGAGGGACGAAGAACGUGACGGUACCUGGAGAAAAAGCAACGGCUAACUACGUGCCAGCAG